GAGUGGCUGCAUCAUAGCUCUUUUUUUUUAACCUGCAUGCGCGCCUCGUAACUGGACCUUGCAUUUUCUUGUCUGUUCUUUUUGCUUUUUUGAGCUUUUUCCAAUUCUUCUAACCUAUGGCAUCUUCUGUCUAUACAUCCAGGCUAGCUCUCCUCGUUUGAUUCGAGGAUGAGCAAUGCACGUCUGUCUUUUUCUUUUUUGUUUCUUAUUCAUGAGAACGGGAGAUUUCUUUUGCUUUCGUAUUCAACGUCCGAUUCUCCCUUCUGAUGAUAAUUAACUUUCAAAAUCCUUCCCGUGCGCAAGGUACAUGUACUACCCAGAGACCAAUAGCAGCUUGUCCCUUCGCAGCGGAGGUGAUGCAUUGACCCGAUGUGAAUAGAGAAUGAGUUAACGAUUUAUAAAAUGUGUGAGCUGAGAGGGAUGAAUUGACUCGUCCAAAUUGUUGUUCUCUUUCUGCUUCCCUUUUCUAUUUUGCUGUUCAUGUCCAAUCAACAAAGACAUUGUAGAUUGAAUAUUCACACUUUCUAAGGAUUUAUGCCUUCCAUGAUUUGUGAUGGAACGACUGCCUGAGCACUUUUUUUAAGAAGGGAAAAAGACAAGCAAGGGCCACUCUCACCAAUAAAUAAAUAGA
rnacentral:sRNA from 1 species